rnacentral:rRNA from 1 species
UACGAAGGGGGCUAGCGUUGCUCGGAAUCACUGGGCGUAAAGCGCACGUAGGCGGAUUGCUAAGUCAGGGGUGAAACCCUGGAGCUCAACUCCAGAACUGCCUUUGAUACUGAGGAGCUUGAGUCCGGGAGAGGUGAGUGGAACUGCGAGUGUAGAGGUGAAAUUCGUAGAUAUUCGCAAGAACACCAGUGGCGAAGGCGGCUCACUGGCCCGGUACUGACGCUGAGGUGCGAAAGCGUGGGGAGCAAACAGG